CAUAACGAGUUUAAAACAUUAAUUAGGAACACAUUCCAUCCCAUGCCUCCCAUGGUUAAACUGUUUAAUUAAAGGCCUUGAGGCCUUCAGGGCAAAACAGUCAGUGCACAGUGUGAUCAUCUCCCUGUGAUUCUCUUUGCUUUGUGAUUCUUCAUCUUUUGGAACAUAUUCGUUUAUUCUAGGACUGUUUGGCACUCCCGCUUUGCCCACAGUAGACAAAAGAAGUCAGUAGUCGUUUGGGCUCUGGAGAUUCCCGGACAGAUUGGUUCUGAUGGCUGCAGACAGUCACUUAAUACCCAAGUAUUCGCUGAGUGAGUGCAACCCAGGGUGUCACGGCUGCUGGAAGCUGGGUGAACAGGGCAGCUCCCUGCUUACAGCUCUGGGGAAGGAAGGGAGAGGAGGGGCGGACCAGGCUGCACCCCAAGAAGCCCGAGAGCCCGAGCUGUGGCCAGUGAGCGUGUUUUUUUGAUGGCAGAAAUGAAGUAAGCCACGUGGAUGGGGUGGGAUGUAGGCCCCCCUGGACAGACUUAGGCAUGCGAAGGACAGGGUGAGGGAGAACACAGAAAAACAGUGAGAAAAGAGGAAGGGAGAAGGAAGGAGACCGUGAGCCAUCAAAGCAAAGCUUAGCAAUGGAAGUGAAAGAAGACGUCUGAGUCCAGGCAAGCAGGGAACCCGGCCUGGAGCCUCCAGGGAACAGGAAGCUGUUGAAGCUGUUCCAGUGACAAGUCCUCUGGUCACUACUGAGACGGGCGUUGAUCUGGUCACCGUCCCUGUGUCAUUGCCUGAGCCUCAGCCAGAUUUUACUGCUUGUCAUUCUUCCGUCUAUCAUGGGAUCAUCCUGAUGUUCCCAGCUCGUCAAACACUGUUCUAUGCAUUUAUUCCAGAAAUAUUUACAGAGAAACUCCAGUUUGCAGCCACUGUUCUAGGUAUGACAGCGACAGUAGUGACAGAAACAGAUGCUUUUCUCUACAUGUGACUGUAAUAAUGGCACGGAGUGAACCACAAACACUGAGAACACCAUAGUCUGGUCGGGAGAAGGAGUCACAGGAAGUGACCUUUGACAGAGACCUUUUAAAGACUUGAGACAAGAAUGUCCUAAGUCCAGGCAGAGCGCAGGGCUCAACCCUGGGCAAAGUAACACAAGGCCUGCUGUGAGAAACUAGGUGCCCUCUGGCGAGGUCUCUGCAGCUCCACAGCCUUCCUCCAUUUCUCCUUCUGGAUGCUUCUCUGUGUCUGUGGCGUUGAGACUCAGGGUUCCUUGCUUGUGUUCACUCUCAGCUUUGGCUGCUUGAAUCAUUUGCUCUCUCCCUCUCAUUUCCUCUCUACUAUCAUUUACCUUUAAGCUCGUAAACAUGCUAAAGUCUCUUACAUCUUAAAGUAACAAUCAUCAGGAGUCUGGAACGCGCUCUCUGGCCUGCUAACCUCUCGGUAGUUUUCAGUGACUCUGUUCUUUUCACACAGACCACCAUUUCCAUUGCUUCUUCACCCUUUUUCCUCAGUCCUCUACUCCGCUUCCUGUUAUACCAGAAGAUUCUGUGUUCAGUAAAGGUCAGCAACCAUGGGGAAAGAAGUAUGAGAACCACGGUGAGAGAGUCAGGCCUUAGAGUCUCAAAAGGAAGAGAGUGUUACAAAGCAGGAAAUGAUAGAAAAACUUGGGUGCCUCGAGUUGUUUAAAAAAGAACAGGAAAACUAUCAGAAGUCAUCAUCACAAAGAAAACGUUACAGCAUCACAGCUUAGAGGUGGUUUAGGUCUAAUGCUGAUGAGUUUUGCUUGAGUUUACGGGACAAGGCAGCGGAAAUGGAAUGGAAAUUAAGGUCAAGAACGUGAGAACGCGACAAGGCACUGCGUGUUGUGUGAGUCACCCUCACCAGCUUCACUGAGCUGCAGAACCCCGGUGAGCUGGGCAACAUGGUAAGCUGGUGCAAGAAAGAGGAGUCUCAAAGGUGAGAGGGAAGAGGCGCAUGAGUGUGUGAGAGUGGGAUGGGAAAGGAGGGGCCCUGUCCUUGAUGUCACCAUAGCCACGACCACCGCUCUGUAACCCAAGCAGGUUAGCAAGGGAAGAAGAGCGCACUGCCAUGGCUUGAGAGUGGUGUGCGCCCUGCAAAAUUCCUGUUGGGAUUUAUCCCUGUCUCUUCCACAGGAUGUCAUAUGUCACCUUGAACUUCUGCUGGCAGAAAAGCCAUCACCAGACAUGGCCCCUUGACCUCAGACCAGAACUGUGAGCCAAAAUAAAUCUGUUAUCUCUAUAACACACCCAGUCCAUGAUACUGCAUUGUUAGCAACAGAAAACUGAGUAAGACAAUGACAGAUUUAUUAAUCCAAGUUUUAUAUGACAUGGAGCCUUUGGAAACCAAGACCCUCAGACAACUCAGUUUUUAUCCUUUGGUUUGUUGGAAGUGGACAGCCACGUAGAAGUGCAACUGGACAGAAGAGUUUGAUCAGUGGUCAGAGCCUGAGCGGGACCUGAGCAAGGCCUCUGUGUGUAACAUUCCCCCCUCCCAGUAUGCAGUAAGCUUCUCCCCUCUGGAAAGAGCCUCUCAUAAUAGACUGUCAGACCAAGAGCUCUCCCGAGGCUUCUCCGUGGGUAGGCCAGGGAGCGGGAGGGCAGGGAGGCUCCCCGUCUGUGCCCGCCGCCUGGCUUUCCUGUCUCCUUCAAUGCAAAGCACUCAGCAAGCUCUGGUGCUGUGUUUGGAUAUAGUUGUCCGAACCCCAACAGCUGUAAAUAUUUGUUUUAACACAGAAUAAUUCCCUCGAAGCAACAGCAGGAGAACAAUGACAAUGUGAGGGAAGCAGUCCUCUCUCUUCCUGUUCACCUGGCCAGGUGAACAAAUCAAGGACAGUCACAUUUCGAAUCUUGUGCAUUCAGUACCCCACUUUCCAAAGCUAAUCAUUUUGCUUCUUUCCGUCCUAACAAACACUUCUUAAAAGUCGUAUUUGAACCCGUCUCUACAGAGGCCACACCCUGGGGUCCUGAUGGAGGAGGAAACCUGGACUUGAAGCCAGGCAGACCCCUGGCUCCAGAGUUUGCCCUGGUGAACCCCUGGGCACAUCGACGAGCCACCUGAAACUCGGUUUCCUCAUCUGUAAAACAGGGACGGUUGGAAUACUGUGCCUGCUCUGUGGGAUGGAUGUGAGAGCUGUAGUAGGUAUCACACGUGAAGGACCCUCAGUCUCAUCUGUCACAUCACGGGAAGGUGGUGCUGUCUUCAGUGCUGACAGCAUUAUUUUCACACAAAAGUAGCAAAAGCUACUUUGUCGAACAAAGGAAAUACGUCAGAGUCAGCUACAUAGAGUAGCUUGGUAUUUCACAAGUACAAAAUCAACACAAUGAUUUCUUAAAUUUGUACCACAUCCAGCAAGUUAUGAUGGUAUGGAAACGUAAGUUGAGAGUGCCCGUUUCAUCUCUUGUGUGACGUGUGCUUUGACCCCCAAGAUUUUCUGACCAUUUCCCCACGUUCGUUUCUCUGUCUCUCUCACAGUCUCUUCUCUCCCAUUUCUUCACAUUUCAUGUUAUGAACAGACAGCAUGAAUUCAUAGAAAACAUAUGAAUAUUAGAAUUGAAGUGGAACUUUAAAUUUUUGUGUGCUACUGAUUACUUAUGAGUGAUUUAACUGCUCAUAACCGGAAUAUCUUCAGAUUUAAAUCGUGAACUGUGGAGGUUGGGGAUUUAGCUCAGUGGCAUAAGCACGUGCCUGGCAAGAGUGAGGUCGUGAAUUCAAAGCCCAGUACCAAGUAAAUAAAUAAAUAAAAAUAAAAUUGUGAACUGUGAAA